rnacentral:rRNA from 1 species
CAGUAGCCACGGGAAUACGAAGGGUGCAAGCGUUACUCGGAAUUACUGGGCGUAAAGCGUGCGUAGGUGGUGGUUUAAGUCCGUUGUGAAAGCCCUGGGCUCAACCUGGGAAUUGCAGUGGAUACUGGGUCACUAGAGUGUGGUAGAGGAUAGUGGAAUUUCCGGUGUAGCAGUGAAAUGCGUAGAGAUCGGAAGGAACAUCUGUGGCGAAGGCGACUAUCUGGGCCAACACUGACACUGUGGCACGAAAGCGUGGGGAGCAAACAGGAUUAGAUACCCGUGUAGUCCCUGUCUCUUAUAC